GGAAAUAGGUUGUUUUUAUCUUUCCCUACACACUGUGUGAUCAUGAAUGUGCUUCAAAAAGGGGAACAUAGAAGGGAAAUUAGAAUCUGUUUGUUUCCAUGGCACUCAUAAAACAUGGAUCUUUUAUGGAUACAAUAAACUUUAACUUAAAUCAUCUUCCCUUGAGAGAUAUCAGUUAAGGUCAGCCAUGCAAUUCUGCACCAGAAAGCAGACCCAGGUUAUUGCAACCUGUUCAGGGUAUUUAUGAAAUCAUAUUGUCAAGAUUUGAAUGGUAUUGUUGGAUGGCAGAUUUCUACACCUCGGAAUGAAACCCGUGCUGGUCCUGGUACAGAGAGUUAGUCAUGUUCACCAUCUGUCAGAGAUCUGUAUUUUUCUGCUGUGAGGAAGAGGAGCCUGUGGUCUCUGAAAAUUGUCAGCUCUUCAAAGCACUAGAAAGCUCCUAUGGCUGAUUUAGGAGUGACGGAAGAGAUGGAGAUGGAGCUACUCUGCUCAUGCCUAUGAGAAAAGAAUUCCUGACUGUAUUAUGGUCUGGAGUGUGGUGCCAUUGUUUUGCAGGCCUAUGGACUCUCUUGUUUUGGACUGAGGGACCAAGAACAAGGAGUCUGGGGUCUACUGUCUUCGUUCGGGGUUGGGGAACCAGGUAGGGAUUUGGAGCAGAGCUCAAAGGGCCACUUGUAUGUGAAGUAAGCACUCAGAUUGGCUUUGACCG
rnacentral:lncRNA from 1 species